rnacentral:sRNA from 1 species
AGGUCUGCGAGUUAAUCGCGAGCACCAGGGAGGAUAACGUUGCUUCAGCAACGGCCCGCAGGGCGAGGCGCAGCCGAGUAAUCCUCCCGGAUGCACCA